AUCCAGCCCCCAGCACCUGGUGCUGACCGUGGCCCCGUGCUGGGAUUAGCCAUCGUGAUCCCCUCCGGGCCACCUGUCAGGCAGCCCCAGGGCAGAGAGGGGAUCAGUAAUGGAGGAGGACAGCAGACAAGGUCUUAGCACGCUGAUCCCUGCGCCGCAGCGCUGCGCUCCGUUGGGGCCAUGCAUUAUUCAGCCCCCGGAGGUAAUUAUAGCUGUGCUGGCAGAGCUGUGCAGCAGGCAGGGAUGGCUCCAGUGGGGCAGGAGGGCGGCGUGCCACGUGUCCCCCAGCACUGUCACCCCACAUCAAACUCCAUUCCCUGCGAGCAACCCAAAUUUGCAUCCCCUCGCACGGAGCUGCCGCUCUUUGAUGCUGAUACAAAGCGAAGCCCCUGCAGCCCGCGUGCGCUCACUGGCUGGAGAGAUUUCAGCUCGUCUCUGAAGAAGUGAUGCAUCUUCACCAGGCAGGGCUUGCUGUGCUGCUGGGCAGGGAGGCCGGGAUGCGCAAAUGGGAGCAAGCAGACCAUGAAGCCCUGCACGUACUCUGCAGCUGGGAUGAAAAAUUCAGAGGGUUUCAGAGCUCUGAGAUCACAACGGGAAGGAUCCGGGCUCUGCCCUGGGCUGGCUGCAAGCAGUCCCCAUAGCAGUGCUUUGUGCCAUCCUAAUUGGAGGAAACACCCCAUAGCAAUGCUUUGUGCUUUGAGGAAACAUCCCAAUGCCCCCGAGGCUGUGAUAAGGGAACGGUGCCCUCCUUGCAGCCUCGUCAAAUUCGGUGCCACCUCUGCCAUGGUGCGCGCCGGCCCAAGGGCUGCCACAGCAUCACCUGUGCUUCAUGGGCCCCACAUCCCUGCUGUGGGAUGGCGGGGAUAAAAACAUGCCACGUACAUG